CUUUUACAAUGAAGAGUUUGAUCCUGGCUCAGGAUGAACGCUAGCUACAGGCUUAACACAUGCAAGUCGAGGGGCAUCAGGAAGAAAGCUUGCUUUCUUUGCCGGCGACCGGCGCACGGGUGAGUAACACGUAUCCAACCUGCCCUUUACUCGGGGAUAGCCUUUCGAAAGAAAGAUUAAUACCCGAUGGCAUAAUGAUUCCGCAUGGUUUCAUUAUUAAAGGAUUCCGGUAAAGGAUGGGGAUGCGUUCCAUUAGGUUGUUGGUGAGGUAACGGCCCACCAAGCCUUCGAUGGAUAGGGGUUCUGAGAGGAAGGUCCCCCACAUUGGAACUGAGACACGGUCCAAACUCCUACGGGAGGCAGCAGUGAGGAAUAUUGGUCAAUGGGCGCUAGCCUGAACCAGC
rnacentral:rRNA from 1 species